rnacentral:rRNA from 1 species
UACGGGGGGAGCAAGCGUUGUUCGGAUUUACUGGGCGUAAAGGGCGCGUAGGCGGUCAGCACAAGUCAGUUGUGAAAUCUCCGGGCUUAACUCGGAAAGGUCAACUGAUACUGUGCGACUAGAGUGCAGAAGGGGCAACUGGAAUUCUCGGUGUAGCGGUGAAAUGCGUAGAUAUCGAGAGGGACACCUGCGGCGAAGGCGGGUUGCUGGGCUGACACUGACGCUGAGGCGCGAAAGCCAGGGGAGCGAACGGG